CCUACGGGAGGCAGCAGUGGGGAAUUUUGGGCAAUGGGCGAAAGCCUGACCCAGCAACGCCGCGUGAAUGAAGAAGGCUUUCGGGUCGUAAACUUCUUUUGACAGGGAAGAGCAGAAGACGGUACCUGUCGAAUAAGCUACGGCUAACUACGUGCCAGCAGCCGCGGUAAUACGUAGGGGGCAAGCGUUGUCCGGAUUUACGGGGUGUAAAGGGCGUGUAGCCGGGCUGACAAGUCAGAUGUGAAAUCCGGGGGCUCAACCCCCGAACUGCAUUUGAAACUGUUGAUCUUGAGUAUCGGAGAGGCAGGCGGAAUUCCAUGUGUAGCGGUGAAAUGCGUAGAUAUUAGGAGGAACACCGGUUGCGAAGGCAGCUUACCAAGCUACUUCUGACGUUGAGGCACGAAAGCGUGGGGAGCAAACAGGAUUAGAUACCCUUGUAGUC
rnacentral:rRNA from 1 species